rnacentral:rRNA from 1 species
UACGUAGGGGGCAAGCGUUGUCCGGAUUUAUUGGGCGUAAAGAGCGUGUAGGCGGCCAUGCAGGUCAGCUGUGAAAACUCGAGGCUCAACCUCGAGACGUCGGUUGAAACCGCAUGGCUAGAGUCCGGAAGAGGAGAGUGGAAUUCCCGGUGUAGCGGUGAAAUGCGCAGAUAUCGGGAAGAACACCUAUGGCGAAGGCAGCUCUCUGGGACGGUACUGACGCUGAGACACGAAAGCGUGGGGAGCAAACAGG